CAUCUUAAUCCUGUCCUUCAUACUGUCAAAGAAUACCUGGAAGAACCCUAAUAAACGUGGAAAUACUUCAAACAUUUUUUUUUUUUGAAUAACAGUGUUAAUUUUAGAAAACAUUUUGGACCAGCUCUGAAGCAGGCACUGUUGUGAAGAAAUCAUCAGUAUAAAUUGUGUUCUGCAAGGGGAAAAGAGACAUAAACAUGAUUUUUUUUUAAGAAAAAAUGUGUGCUAUAUCUGUGUCAUUCCCAUGUUACCUUUAACUAUUGGAGGUUUAAGAAAGAAGAUAGCUGAUUACUGCUAAAGUUCUGUGAGGAAGAUUGCCAGUUUCCCAGGGCUAUAUUUCUGUGAUUUAAUUUGGCAUUUUGCACUUAAGUCUUUGUGACAACUGUGCUUUCCUCAUCACCCCAUCUUCUGAACUUUGAGCAACUGAAGGCCCCAUGCAAACUGAGAUGAGGCUGCCCAGCUGUGCAGAUGUGAUUGUGUCCUGUGAUGUGGGAGCAGCUCCCUUUCUCCAGCUGGUUGUGGUAUGGAGCUACAGUCAAGAGAAGCAUGCCUUGGUUGGCUCCUGAGCAAUGUGCCAUCUUUUCUCCUGCUUCAAGGCUCACAGAUGUAGUUGGCUGGUGGACUGAUCAGCUGGAUCCAGCCUCUGUCUUUGAGGAGCUGAAGAGAAUGUAUGCACCAUAUUUCUUGUGAUGAAAUAUAGCAGGCCAGAGAAGACGGUUGUGAUUCAGAGAGAACACAUCACUGAAAACCAUAGACCUAGCUGGUACCCUCAAACUGUGGGAUCUGCCAUCUCUGGAAAAGCAUGUACCAGGCUUGAGCCUUGGAGAAAAUUGUCUGCUUGCUCUUGGUGGAGGCUGAAGUUGUUCUGCACUGCCUUUUUGGACUGGGUGAAUCUGGGAAGCUGAGUGGCAAACGAAAGUGGAAGACUCUGAUUCAACUCUUCUUGGCCCGAUGGGGGCUGAAACCUGCAUUUCCCAAGUAAUCUGCCAAUUGUUUUAGCAGUCAGGCGUGCUGCAGAGUGACAAUUCUGACGUCUUCAGUCAACACCGAAGAACACCAAAUAAUCUGAGCUGCGGUGUACCAGGGAAAGGUGAUCCUGUCAAUAUGGUAAUGAAAAAGAGACAAACUUCAUGCAAAGGAAUUUUGCACAAGAACACUAAAUAUAUGUGAGCGCCCAAUGGUGAAAUGCCAAGAUGUAUAUCAGUGUGCUAACUCCACUGUUAUUACGGUCUUUGAAAUGAAAUUAAGGGAACAACUUCACAAAAGUUUUAGGAGUGCAGGAACUACAUCUGAGUGCUGGCCGCCUCAAGAUAUGUGUGGAGCUCCGGAAGAAACCGCCCACAGUGACCCCUCAGAAUGGCAAAUGUGGGACCGAUGGCCAACUGAGCCGAGGAAAGUCUGCUCUGCUGGCAAUGAUACAGACCUCUCGUAUAGCACAUCUGUGCACGUGCAUGUGCUCUUGCUGUGCAGAGUGAAAUCUGCCAUGACAAAGACUCUAUCAGUCUGCUAAGACUUGUGUUCCUCAUAUGUUCUCACUGAUGAGCUGUAAAUAUCCUCCAAGCUAGCUGUAUGGUACAGUACUAUAGUUAUGGUGGUCAGGUUUCUGUUAAAAGUACCGUGUAAAAGAGCCGAGAAAUGUGAAACAGAUGAAAAAGUUGUAAAACAAAGAUGAGAUAUAAUGGCUGAUCUCAGGAUAACUUCAGAAAUUGUCAGUGCCAUAAAGUGAUGUGUUAGUCUAUGGCUUUAGGAGAAAACAUAAAUGCAAACCAGGUUUUCUGUUUUUCUCUAUUCAGCUAAUGAGAAUUUGACCAGGGUGUAGGCAUUUCAUCUUAUACUGACCUGCUAUUUUCACUCAUUUUGGAAAACAAUUGCGACUUGCUUAUUUUGUGUAACGGCUUUUGUAACCCCACACGUACAUCUAGUUUAGCAACUUGCUGGAUCUUUGCAUCCCUCGUGGCAAUGUAGUCCCUGCUAUGCACCGAAGCAGGCCCCUGCUCUGUCUUGACUUGAUGUGGGUUUCCUGCUUUAGCCACGUCCCGUUCCCUCUGCCCUUGGGUCAACAUUCUCUGGGCAGCAUUCCCUCCGGUGGGCUGGAUGACAGUGUAAUUUUGUACUGCAGCUCAUCUGAGAUCAGCCAGUCUCUCCCCCCUCCUAAGGGUAGGCACAGUGGCUGCUUUACCUAAGAGUGUCAUAGGAACAGAGUGGCUUCAGCCUCCUUGUCUUCCUCUAUGUACCCACAGGGCAGAAAGAGGACUCUAAAUCCAUCAAAGUUUUAUGGAGGAGCUGUAGGUCUCAAAUAUUUCCCUGUGCAUGCAAGAAGAGAACAUGCAGCUAAAAUGUGUGAUAGUAAACCCCUUAAUUCACCAUGUUAAUGCCAUUUAUUCCUAGCAUUGUAAUUUUCCCUUUCCCAUUUUACCUUCUUCCUAUCCGCCUCCCACCAGCUGUGAACCACACAGGCAACCUACUUCAGAAGUUUGACUUUGUCAUAUUACUGAGUGUGUGCCACAGCUGCAAAUGCAGCUUCUCCCAAAAUAUCAUUGCCUCGGUUCCUGUGGCAAAGUGACUGAAGCUUCAUCAGGUCAAAUGAUGCAUUCAAGGUAUCUGGGUGCUAUUUUCAGUUUUGAAUGAGCCAAGGCCAGUUAUCACAAAAUACUCUGCAACAAAUUCGAUUUGCUUAAAAGUGGCAUGGUAGUACCCAAACCAACAAGAGGAGUUGCCGUGAGGGGCAUCCUAAAAUGAGUGGACCACUAGUCGAAAGAUAAUUAAAAUGAUUAGCAAAAUAUGAUUUUGAAAGUGUAUCUCUUUCAGUAGUGCUUUUUCCCAGCUCUCUGUUUUCUUGUACUGUAAGGCACAACAAGAAACAAAUAUCCUUAAACACAGGCCCAUCUGCAGCCUCAAAAAAAGCAACUAAUAUGAAAGAACAGUAACCCCAGCUCUGGGGGUUUUUUGUGUUGUUUAAAGCCCUACAUAAAUCAAGAGGAGGCCCACAAAGGGAAGACUGGUUUCAGGGACUGGUCUUGAUUUUCUGCUUAGGAUAAUCAAGAUCAGGAAUCCAUCUCUAAUUAAAGGCAAAUAGAAAAUAUGCAGGAUUUUCACAUACAUUCUUUUCAUACUCAUAGUUUAACGUGUUAUGUAUACAGUAUUCUUUUCCUUUAGUUCAACUUUCUCAAAUUAUGUGCAGACAGCUUCAGCUGCAGGGAAAGGUGGGAGUAUUUAGGAUAUCUAGAAUUUAACUGUUUCACUCCUACUACAGAAAGACCUGUUUCUUUAGCAGAGGUAUUCGAUAGAAAUGUGGUUUCUAUUUUCAACAGAAAACCUCAGUGAUUCUGUGUGAUUCUGUUGUGUGUGUGUUUUGGGGGUUUUUUUGGUUUUGUGUGUUUUUUUUUUUUUUUUUUUUUAAAUUAGUAGAUCCUAGUGAAGAUGUUUGUCUGGCUGCUUUGAAGAAAGACAUGCUUUUAGUUUUAAUAAACAUAGUACUUUUUCCUUGUCUGCUUCUGUUGUAGCGCUGGUUCUUUUUACAGUGAUUUUCCAUGGAAAUGUCAUUCAAGUGAAUGAAAUUUAAGCAGGAUGUGGGUUUUGUCACUUUGAUGGUGAUGUAGUUUCCCAGAUGUAAGUUUUUCAUUAAGAAAUUAAUAUUGGCAGAUUGGGUAUUACAGUAAACUGAACAAGCUCGAGUAUGCGGUAGGACCACAUCAUUUUGCAUGGUGAUGUUCAAGUUCCCUUCUCUCCCCGCACAGUGAAGUCUGGGGUUGAUUUACAUAAAUUCUUAGAUUUCUAACAGCAGCACCCCGUAAGUUGAACUAUUCCUCAUGCUUUUGGCUCCUUUUCUGAGACAUAUUGCUGACACUUCCAUCACUGAGUCAGUAUAGCCCAAUGAA